rnacentral:misc_RNA from 1 species
GAUGAAGAACGCAGCGAAAUGCGAUAAGUAGUGUGAAUUGCAGAAUUCAGUGAAUCAUCGAAUCUUUGAACGCACAUUGCGCCCCUUGGUAUCCCGAGGGGCAUGCCUGUUCGAGCGUCAUUUCACCACUCAAGCCUGGCUUGGUGUUGGGCGACGUCCUCUUUGGGGACGCGCCUCGAAACGCUCGGCGGCGUGGCACCGGCUUUAAGCGUAGCAGAAUCUUUCGCUUUGGAAGUCGGGGCCCCGUCUGCCGGAAGACCUGCUCGCAAGGUUGACCUCGGAUCAGGCAGGGAUACCCGCUGAACUUAAGCAUAUCAAUAAGCGGAGGG